CAUUUGUAAGGGUGUCAUUUAUAUGUUAUGGGUGAAAUGAGAGGAGUUCAUAGGAAUCUUUGGCUGCAUCCGAAAUCACUUCCCAACAACAUGGCGAUGCAUUCAUACUACACACAUAUCGAUUUUAAUGAUCGCAAAGUUAAUUAUUAAUUAUUCAAAAGAAGUACCUACUCAGAGAGUAUGUGAUUUUGGAAGCCUUGGACUAUGGGUUUUAAGAAAGUAUUACUUUUUUACACUACCCUACAUUUAGGGUUAAGUUAAAGGUCCCAUGACAUGCUGCUUUUUGGAUGCUUUUAUAUAGGCCUAAGUGGUCCCUAGUACUGUAUCUGAAGUCUCUUUCCCGAAAUUCAGCCUUGGUGCAGAAUUUCAGCCACUACAAGCCAGUCCCACAAUGAGCUUUCCUUAGGACGUGCCAUUUCUGUGUCUGUAGCUUUAAAUGCUAAUGAGGAGGAGAGAGGUGGGGCAAGGUGGAGGGUGGGUGUGUGGCCUUAACCAGCUUGCCCUACCAUGCGCUAAUGUUGACAGUGGAUGUAUCGCAAUGGCUCGUAGACACACAGUCAUUCAAGCUUUUCAGUUUGACCCAGAAUCUGAUCCGGAUGGAGAAGCACCGGAUGAAGAAGUUGCAACUCAGCAGCUACAGAAGGACAUCUACGAAUGCUCUCGGGGAGUGAGACGGUACUGAUCCAGCCCAUCGUUCCAUCUGAUUCGCUCCAAUACCUCUAGCUCACCUCCUACCAGCCAAUCACCGCUUUCCAAAACCAUCUGUUCACAGGCAUCUCGCUCCGGUGAAGUGCGCUCGGGUUUGGACCUUCGCUCGGAGGCGGGGCGGACUAAACUCUCAGGUGAACUUCUUGAAGGUGAUUUGUGGAGACGCGGAAAGAGAAG